CUGAACCAGCCAAGUAGCGUGAAGGAUGACUGCCCUAUGGGUUGUAAACUUCUUUUAUAAAGGAAUAAAGUCGGGUAUGCAUACCCGUUUGCAUGUACUUUAUGAAUAAGGAUCGGCUAACUCCGUGCCAGCAGCCGCGGUAAUACGGAGGAUCCGAGCGUUAUCCGGAUUUAUUGGGUUUAAAGGGAGCGUAGAUGGAUGUUUAAGUCAGUUGUGAAAGUUUGGCG
rnacentral:rRNA from 1 species